rnacentral:rRNA from 1 species
UGAAGAGUUUGAUCAUGGCUCAGAUUGAACGCUGGCGGCAGGCCUAACACAUGCAAGUCGAACGGUAACAGGAAGCAGCUUGCUGCUUUGCUGACGAGUGGCGGACGGGUGAGUAAUGUCUGGGAAACUGCCUGAUGGAGGGGGAUAACUACUGGAAACGGUGGCUAAUACCGCAUAACGUCGCAAGACCAAAGAGGGGGACCUUCGGGCCUCUUGCCAUCAGAUGUGCCCAGAUGGGAUUAGCUUGUUGGUGAGGUAACGGCUCACCAAGGCGACGAUCCCUAGCUGGUCUGAGAGGAUGACCAGCCACACUGGAACUGAGACACGGUCCAGACUCCUACGGGAGGCAGCAGUGGGGAAUAUUGCACAAUGGGCGCAAGCCUGAUGCAGCCAUGCCGCGUGUAUGAAGAAGGCCUUCGGGUUGUAAAGUACUUUCAGCGGGGAGGAAGGUGUUGUGGUUAAUAACCGCAGCAAUUGACGUUACCCGCAGAAGAAGCACCGGCUAACUCCGUGCCAGCAGCCGCGGUAAUACGGAGGGUGCAAGCGUUAAUCGGAAUUACUGGGCGUAAAGCGCACGCAGGCGGUCUGUCAAGUCGGAUGUGAAAUCCCCGGGCUCAACCUGGGAACUGCAUUCGAAACUGGCAGGCUUGAGUCUUGUAGAGGGGGGUAGAAUUCCAGGUGUAGCGGUGAAAUGCGUAGAGAUCUGGAGGAAUACCGGUGGCGAAGGCGGCCCCCUGGACAAAGACUGACGCUCAGGUGCGAAAGCGUGGGGAGCAAACAGGAUUAGAUACCCUGGUAGUCCACGCCGUAAACGAUGUCUACUUGGAGGUUGUGCCCUUGAGGCGUGGCUUCCGGAGCUAACGCGUUAAGUAGACCGCCUGGGGAGUACGGCCGCAAGGUUAAAACUCAAAUGAAUUGACGGGGGCCCGCACAAGCGGUGGAGCAUGUGGUUUAAUUCGAUGCAACGCGAAGAACCUUACCUGGUCUUGACAUCCACAGAACUUUCCAGAGAUGGAUUGGUGCCUUCGGGAACUGUGAGACAGGUGCUGCAUGGCUGUCGUCAGCUCGUGUUGUGAAAUGUUGGGUUAAGUCCCGCAACGAGCGCAACCCUUAUCCUUUGUUGCCAGCGAUUAGGUCGGGAACUCAAAGGAG